GUACAUGUUGCUCUUUGGUGCAAAGCCUGAAUAAGGAGCGCAUUGCACAGAGCGAUACUUUGUUUCCCUCACUGUUACCAUGUCAAAUUUUUGUCUGCCUAUGCUAAAGGCUUGAUGGGUGCUUGUAAAGCAAGAUAUAUAGAAAAACUAGAGGCAUGUAACCUGAAACAGGACCCGUAUCAGAUCGACGCAAAAAAGCUGGAGGCUUACCGGAAAUAAUUCCUGACGUGUAGUGGAACGACAUGUACAUCUACAUGAUUUCAACCCCGAGCCAGCACACAAAGGAAGACUUAAGAGCAUGGAAAUCCAUGACAGGAUCAGAUUGUUUUGUCAAGGCUAGAUGGGUCCACGAUAUGCGACUUCACACAAACCAAUCUGGGUCCGGGAAGACCAGAUAUGUGGUGAUUGGCAGGGUGAAACUCGGCUAGAGAAUGACAGCAACCCCUCUGGUUCCAUGGUUUGCUGCUGAGAAGUGCCGAGAAAUUAUAGCUGCACACUGUACACGCAUGGCCGGAUUGGGAGAAGCCUGUAGCCUUGUUGCUGCAUUAAUAUCAAGUGUUGUAAAAGCCAACCAGUUGAGGAAAGCUCCAGGAUCAGAUGCCUGUACUUCUCAGAAGUGUGCAUGGCUACCAGCAAAAAGAAAUGUAUGUGCUGCAGAAGUGAAACACAUCAAUUUUAGAAAGCCUUCAAGUACCUGCAAGAAACCUUGGACAGAAGCUGCUAUAGCACCCCCUACAUUAGAUGAACUGGCCGUAUUCCAUGCAUCUCUCCAGCAAGUAUCAGCUCGGCCAGUUGUUCAUUGUGUCAUGGAUGCAUAUGCCCAAGAAUUUAUUCCCCUCUCUGCUACUGACAUNGUACCCCAAGGCCCUCUCAUCUCUCUAUGACCCGGACAGUUUGGACCUGACUUACCCUCAACUAUUUCAGAAAUGUGCCACUGUCAGUGACUCAAUGAAGGUUCAGUUUUCUCCACCCAGCAGAACUCCUGCCACUUUUGAAAACUUGCCUCUUGUAAUUUCACUACAUGUUUGUCACAUGGGUAAAUGGCCUUCAAACCUAAAGAAUACAUCCAAAAAUCAAGAAUGGUCUUUCUGAAACAGUUUUAGCCUCCAUGAAUGGAGAAUGUAAGCCUUCAAUCAAUUUAAGCAAUAACAAUGAUUUGAACAGUUUUUCAGAAGUCAGACUUGCAUUUGCAAUGAGCAUUUGCAUUACAGCAAGCAUGCCCAACUGAGACUAGAUGACUCACUCAAGAUAACAACAGAGCGGUGUCAAGCUGUGGAAGAAGGAACUAAAGGUCAGGCUAACUGCAAGAUCUGGUUGGCCCAGAGGGAGCCCUACAGUUCCUAAGGAUAGAUGACAUCAGAGGCAUAAGGUCUAUUGUCUGCGCGUAUACCCCAGGCCUGGAGACCUAGACCAAACUCUAGACAACAGAUUCGUAUGCAAUAAAACAUGGGACUGGGAGCAACUCAACUCUUGUGCUUGCAUACCACAAUCGUCUGGCAUUAAUAUGCAUUCUGACUGUCAGUUACGUGUAUGGUAGUUUCAACAUCACUUCAAUUCACACUUUGCUCAACAAGCUCAAGCCAGUUUGAAAGAAGCACCUUUUUGCCAGAACAUAGUGUGGCGGGACAACUGAUGCUAGCCAACCUUGCGUAGCCAACACCCCGCUUGCGAUCGCGGUCAUUUUGGCCGCGUCUUCUACGCUGAGUUUGUCUAAAUCAGGGGGUUUAAUUUUUCAGCAGCUUUUUACCAAGCAUGGCGUAUCCCAUCGAAAUGACGCUGACAGCAACGCAGUGAUAUACUAUAUUGGCAAUUCGUUUGCAUCGAUUGCUUUACUCAUUUUUUUUUUUAUUAUAUAGCGAUUUUUAUUUUACUUCAUUGCUAAAUUUUCUGAUGCACUAGCUUUCGCUGGGACAGGCAGCGAUGGCGCUCGUAUUUGGUUUACAUCAGGCGUUUUCUUUAAAAAAAAAAACAAUGCGAGAGUGACUACCCCUAUCAACAAUCCGCCUAAAAUCAAGUUUCUGUGAUCCGCGUAUAUUUUAGUUUCUGAUUUUGUCUUGGCAGGCUCACGAGAUUUUAAUUCUAAAAGUUGUUGUUUCAUGCGCUUGUUAUGUUCUGCCACGCGUUUUCCUUGUUCGACUCGCCUGGGAUUUUUACUCUGGGUGACAGUCUGAACUUGUAUUUCGGUAGGAAGAGUCUUGAUCGGACUCGAUUGCAUGAUGGAUAUAAUCUAAUCUGUUUUCACGAUUUUGCGGCAUUACAUUUUGAUUUCUUUGCAUUUCUAAUUAGGUAAUUUUUUUAUUAUAAUGUAUAUUUUAUCAUUAUUAUCGGCGUCUUUCCUCUUUGAGGAGAGACGUCGAAUUUUAUUUCAAAACCGUCUUUCGUCUCCCACACGAAGCAAGUGCGAUGCCUUUGACGCUGCACGUCUUUUUUUGCUCGGACUAUGGCGUCUUCUUUCACCGGUGUAGAUUAAGUGUUUAAUUAACCGAGUGGCGUGCCCGCCGACUAGUUUUGCGCACUCAAAUUGGAUUGCAAAGGUGAGCGACAAGUUUAGGGAACCUGGUAAAGUCUGAGGAAUUGGGGAUUUUUAUGGAUUUUUUUGGAGAGUGGAGAUUUUUGUGAAUUUGUUAAAGUUUUGGCGGAUUUUUUGGAUUUUCUUUUUUUAUUUUUGGAGAGAGAAAUUUUUCAAUUCUUAGAAAAAUCACAGAAAUAUCCAUUCCUUACUACUCGCUGUCACUUCAAUUCACACGUAGGCAGUUAUUGCUGAGCUGCCCAUCCAGUGUAUAAAGACCAGUGGGCAUCACCCACAGGUAUAAGGGUGCACCCUCGUAAUUAGGCCAGAAAUAUGUCCGCCGAGCUCAUUAAUAAGAGUUACACACUCAAAA
rnacentral:lncRNA from 1 species